GAUCAACUCCGGUUGAUCCUGCCGGCGGGCACCGCUAUGGGAGUUCGCUUAAGACAUGCGAGUCGAGAGGUGUAAGACCUCGGCAGACGGCUCAGUAACACGCGGACAAUCUGACCUCGGGUGGGGAAUACUCUCGGGAAACUGAGGAUAAUGCCCCAUAGGUCUGGGAUGCUGGAACGCUUCCAGGCUCAAAGCUCCGGCGCCCGAGGAUGGGUCUGCGGCCUAUCAGCUCGUAGGGGGCUUUACAGACCCCCUAGGCUUCGACGGGUACGGGCUAUGGGAGUAGUCGCCCGGAGAUGGAUUCUGAGACACGAAUCCAGGCCCUAC
rnacentral:rRNA from 1 species